rnacentral:lncRNA from 1 species
UGAGGCAGGAGAAUGGCGUGAACCCGGGAGGUGGAGCUUGCAGUGAGCCGAGAUCACGCCACUGCACUCCAGCCUGGGUGACAGAGCGAGACUGCAUCUCAAAAAAAAAAAAAAAAUUUUAUACACACACACACACACACACACACACACACACACACACACACGUAUUUGAACUACACAGGGAACACAUAUAGUUUCAUAUUAUGAAUUUAAAUAAAGCCAUCAGGCCGGCGUGGUGACUCACGCCUGUAAUCCCAGCACUUUGGGAGGCCGAGGUAGGAGAAUCGCUUGAACCCGGGAGGCACAGGUUGCAGUCAGCCGAGAUCACGCCACUGCACUCUAGUCUGGGCGACAGAGCAAGACUUUUGUCUCAAAAAAAUGAAAAAUAAAAAUAAUAAUGACAAAUUUCGCUAUUGUUAACAGUAAAAUUAACCUAGUGGCUCUUAUCCUUUGACUCCUUCUCUACUUCCCAGCGAGAUUCUCAGUGACCCCUCAUCAUCACCUCUCCUAAGU